AGUGAACGCUGGCGGUAGGCCUAACACAUGCAAGUCGAACGGCCGCACACUGAGCACUUGCCAUUACGGGUGGCGGGUGGCGGUCGGGUGAGGACUGCCUCCAACACCCCUUUUACUUGGUGGAUAACGCAGACGACCUUACGCUAAUCACGCAUACGACCUACGGGUGAAAUCAGGGGCUCUUCGAACCUUGCGCGAUUGAAUGAGCCGAUGUCGGAUUAGCUAGUUGGCGGGGUAAAGGCCCACCAAGGCGACGAUCCGUAGCUGGUCUGAGAGGAUGAUCAGACACACUGGAACUGAGACACGGUCCAGACUCCUACGGGAGGCAGCAGUGGGGAAAAUUUCACAACGUGCGCAAGGCUGUUCCGGUCAAGCCGCGUGUGCUAAGAAGGUCUUCGGUUCGGAAAAACCUCCAAUACGGUAAGAAUAUGAGCGCUUGGACACAGCAGGGGCCUGGCGGUAGGCAAAGAAGAAGCAGCGGCUAACUUCGUG
rnacentral:rRNA from 1 species